AUGUAUAAGUAAGUAAAUAUAUAAGUAAGUAAAUAUGUAAUAAGUAAAUAUAUAAGUAAGUAAAUAUGUAAUAAGUAAGUAAAUGUAUAAGUAAGUAAAUAUGUAAUAAGUAAAUAUAUAAGUAAAUAUGUAAGAAGUAAGUAAAUGUAUAAGUAAGUAAAAUAUAAAAUAAAUAUGUAAUAAGUAAGUAAAUAUAUAAGUAAACAUGUAAGAAGUAAGUAAAUAUAUAAGUAAAUAUGUAAGAAGUAAGUAAAUGUAUAAGUAAGUAAAUAUGCUAAUAAGUAAAUAUAUAAGUAAAUAUGCAAUAAGUAGGUAAAUAUGUAAUAAGUAAGUAAAUAUAUAAUAAGUAAAUAUAUAAGUAAAUAUGCAAUAAGUAGGUAAAUAUGUAAUAAGUAAGUAAAUGUAUAAGUAAGUAAAUAUGCAAUAAG
ensembl:lncRNA